rnacentral:lncRNA from 1 species
GGCAGAGAUGAGAGGCCAGCUGCACCCUGAUUCCCUGCAGGAACAAGAGCAGGGAGGCUGGGUGGUGCACACAGGUAGAGUCCCUCUCCUGAGGUGUGCAGAGUGCCGCUCUGGGAGGAAAGCAAUGGGUCCAGGAACCAAGAGGCAUGAUCAGACCCUGGCACGUAAAUGUCGGGGAUUCUAGGAAACUUCCAGAUGGGCAGCUGCUUCUCUGCAGGUUUCUAUGGGCUUAGCUGCAGAAGAGGACAAAACACUAGUAACAGUCUUGUCUUAUCCAUUUUCUCCCUUCUUCUAAAGUUAAAAAACAACCUCAAAAUUCUCAAACUACAAUUUCAAAUGUACAAAACCAGGCAAUUAGGCUUGCAUAUUGUAAAGGGAAUCCCUGAGAAUUGAAAAAUACUAUGAACUCUCCAGUUACAACUCACAUUUAAGCACAAUGUUCAUUGAUGUGUGUCCAGCAUUUUGUACCUGCUUCCGAUUCUGCUGUCUUCCUCUACGAGAACACAGUGGCCGUCAAUCCAACGUGCCUCAGCUUGAAGCAGAAGAGCAGUUACUCCUGUGGCCCCUUGUCUCAGCUGAAUGACGCCGUUCCCUCGGCCUAAUCCUUCUUAUCACUAGUACCAGCACUUUUGUUUUUGUUUUCUAUUUAAUUGGAGAGAAGGAAAACGUGUUAAUUUAAUACAAAUAGUAAGUUAAUAAGCACCAAUAAACAAAGUUGGAGGGAGACCCUAACACAGGCAACCUGCCUGCAGCCAGGCAGCACCACCAUGCCAGAGUUCAGAGUUCCUUCCAGAAAUGCCAUGCCAUGGGUUCAGAUACGUGUGUAGGGGAGAGCUCAUAAAUGUCAGUGUAUGAACGCGCGGUAUGUGACCACCAGCUACCUAAAAUUGAGGACCACGUGGCUUUCAUUUACAGAUCUCUUUAUGUAAAACUCUCUUCCACUUCUUCCCUUAAAAAUGUGAGUGGGCUAGUUAAGGCUCCCAUUUGUGAAAGGUGAGCACUUAUCGAUAGGCUUCACCCUACUGUGUCAGCCAGUGGAGGGGGAAAGAAACAGGAAGAGCAGAGAGUGAUUCCUGAAAGACGGAAGUAACACCCUGUGAGCAGCAGAUGGAAACGUCAACUAGGACGAAUACGUUUAAGACACAGCCUUAACGAAAUAAGACUGGAAAGCUCUGGAACAGCCGCAAUCAGAGAAUAGGAAAGACUCUUAGAAUCAAAAUAAAGUAAGGGGAAAAUAAAAGAACUUCACAGGACAGUGUGAAGAUAAAGCUGAAAAAAAUCUCCCCAAAGUAGAUAAGACAAAGAAAUAGAAAAUAGGAGAUGGAAGAGGAGACUUGAGGAGUGUCAUCUAAGAGUUCAACAUCCAGUGAAUAGAAGUUCUGGGAAGAAAACAGACGAGGUGGGGAAAGUAAGCAUUAGCUAAGAAAUAAUAAGUGAAUUUUCCCUAGAAUUUCAGGGGAUGAGUUUCUGGAUUGACAUCACUUAUCGAUUACCCCGAACAAUGAAUGAAAAAAGACACAUGUUAAAUAAUAUGGGCACGACAUUUUCCCAUAAGAGGGAUGGAAACACAGUCCUAAAAUUCCCAGUGGAAAAAACCAGGUCCUGUAGAGAGGCUCAGGAAUCAGGAGUCAGCGGUGUCAGACUUGCCAAAGCAGAUGGUUAAGCAGAGGGAAAGCCCGGAGCAGCCCUGCCAGCCAGAGGAAGAGACCUCUCCACCCAGAUGAGAAGGGAACACUUUCCCAGGAAGGUAGGAGGUAGUCCAGCAAGACAAGGAGGAAAUCAAAGAAGCAGAGGACACGGACCCGGAAACAGGCUUACAGUAAUAUUUUUAUUCUUAGAAUAAUCUGAUGAUGGUGCUAUGCAAGUAUUAUGAUGGCAUGGGGCAUGGGGGGGGGGGUCCCUGCAAGGCGCUACCUUUUGGCUCCCCAUGGGAAGGAGCACUAGAUGGUGACAGAAAUAAGCAGGGGAAGACGGUCAGGUAAGCGUCAGGUAAGCUCAUUACUCG